GGCGACGUAGCCCGCCUUGGUCAGCGCGCUGGCGACGCGCUCGGCCGCCGCUUCGACCGCGGCGUCGUCU
rnacentral:tRNA from 1 species